UACGGAGGGUGCGAGCGUUGUCCGGAAUCACUGGGCGUAAAGGGCGCGUAGGCGGUGCGAGAAGCGUGUGGGUGAAAGGCCGGGGCCUCAACCCCGGCUCGGCCGUGCGGACUCUCGCGCUUGGUGAGUGCUGUAGAGGCGGGCGGAAUUCCGGGUGUAGCGGUGGAAUGCGUAGAGAUCCGGAAGAACACCGGUGGCGAAGCGGCCCGCUGGGCGAGUGGACUGACGCUGAGGCGCGACAGCGUGGGGAGCAAACAGG
rnacentral:rRNA from 1 species